rnacentral:tRNA from 1 species
AGCCCCAUAGUGUAGUGGCCAAUCAUCGUGCCCUUUGGAGGCAUGGACCCAGGUUCGAAUCCUGGUGGGGCUA